rnacentral:rRNA from 1 species
UGGGGAAUUGUUCGCAAUGGGCGCAAGCCUGACGACGCAACGCCGCGUGGAGGAUGAAGGUCUUCGGAUUGUAAACUCCUGUUGAUCGGGACGAACGGCUAUCGGGUAAAUAGCCCGGAAGAGUGACGGUACCGAUUGAGGAAGCCACGGCUAACUCUGUGCCAGCAGCCGCGGUAAUACAGAGGUGGCAAGCGUUGUUCGGAAUUACUGGGCGUAAAGGGCGCGUAGGUGGCCUUCUUAGUCAGACGUGAAAUCCCCGGGCUUAACUCGGGAACUGCGUCUGAUACUGGAAGGCUCGAGUUCGGGAGAGGAAUGUGGAAUUCCAGGUGUAGCGGUGAAAUGCGUAGAUAUCUGGAGGAACACCGGUGGCGAAGGCGGCAUUCUGGACCGAAACUGACACUGAGGCGCGAAAGCGUGGGGAGCGAA